rnacentral:tRNA from 1 species
AAGGGUAUAGCCCAGUGGUUGGACACGUGUUUAGCAUGCAUGAAGUCCUGGGUUCAAUCCCCAGUACCUCCA